rfam:Byssochlamys spectabilis No. 5 DNA, contig: PVAR5_00050_2.
GGCAAGGUGGCCGAGUGGUUAUGGCGCUGGUUUUAGGUAAUCUAAACCACCAGUUCGAAAGAUCAUGGGUUCGAAUCCCAUCCUUGUCA